rnacentral:rRNA from 1 species
AGAGUUUGAUCAUGGCUCAGAACGAACGCUGGCGGCAGGCCUCAAACAUGCAAGUCUAGGGGGUGUAGCAAUACAUCACCGGCGGACGGGUGCGUAACGCGUGGGAAUGUACCUAUUGGUUCGGAACAACUGAGGGAAACUUCAGCUAAUACCGGAUGAGCCCGAAAGGGGAAAGAUUUCUCGCCAAUAGAUCAGCCCGCGUCCGAUUAGCUAGUUGGUGGGGUAAUGGCCUACCAAGGCUACGAUCGGUAGCUGUUCUGAGAGGAAGAUCAGCCACACUGGGACUGAGACACGGCCCAGACUCCUACGGGAGGCAGCAGUUGGGAAUCUUGGACAAUGGGGGAAACCCUGAUCCAGCCAUGCCGCGUGAGUGAUGAAGGCCUUCGGGUUGUAAAACUCUUUCGACGGGGACGAUAAUGACGGUACCCGUAGAAGAAGCUCCGGCUAACUUCGUGCCAGCAGCCGCGGUAAUACGAAGGGGGCUAGCGUUGUUCGGAAUUACUGGGCGUAAAGCGCGCGCAGGCGGUCUUCCAAGUCAGUGGUGAAAGCCCGGAGCUCAACUCCGGAAUUGCCAUUGAAACUGUGAGACUGGAGUACGAGAGAGGUGAGUGGAAUUCCCAGUGUAGAGGUGAAAUUCGUAGAUAUUGGGAAGAACACCGGUGGCGAAGGCGGCUCACUGGCUCGUAACUGACGCUCAGGCGCGACAGCGUGGGGAUCAAACAGGAUUAGAUACCCUAGUAGUCC